UCGGACGUGGUGCAGGGCGCACACCCGCUUUCACGGACUUCAGGCGGGAGCACCGGGUUCGAUUCCCGGCGUCCGAA